rnacentral:rRNA from 1 species
AUUGAACGCUGGCGGCAUGCUUUACACAUGCAAGUCGAACGGUAACAGGGAGCUUGCUCCGCUGACGAGUGGCGAACGGGUGAGUAAUGCGUCGGAACGUGCCGAGUAGUGGGGGAUAACGCAUCGAAAGGUGUGCUAAUACCGCAUACGUACUGAGGUAGAAAGUGGGGGACCUUCGGGCCCCACGCUAUUCGAGCGGCCGACGUCUGAUUAGCUAGUUGGUGAGGUAAAGGCUCACCAAGGCGACGAUCAGUAGCGGGUCUGAGAGGAUGAUCCGCCACACUGGGACUGAGACACGGCCCAGACUCCUACGGGAGGCAGCAGUGGGGAAUUUUGGACAAUGGGCGCAAGCCUGAUCCAGCCAUGCCGCGUGUCUGAAGAAGGCCUUCGGGUUGUAAAGGACUUUUGUCCGGGAGCAAAUGCUGGUGGCUAACAUCCACCGGAGCUGAGAGUACCGGAAGAAUAAGCACCGGCUAACUACGUGCCAGCCGCCGCAGUAAGAC